UUGAUACAUUUGAUGAAUUGAUGUUGCACCAUGAUGUGUGUUCGUUGUCAAUUUCAGAAAUACAUACAUGGAUCAAAAAUAGUGUUAAACACACAUGGAAGGUAUGGAGAAGAAAAGAAGUAGAUUGGGGGCCAAGUACAAGUAUUCCUAAUAUCCUCCACCAGGCUACCACGUCACUUUUGGCCCAAGGAAAGAAAGAGACCCAAUCCAACAUGUUUUGACGCUGGAUUCGGACUGCAGCUCUACCCCAAAUUGCAAUGGCCGCCAUGACCUCAUCCGAACUUCAUUUUGGGCAUUCAAGU
rnacentral:lncRNA from 1 species